GCAUCUGUCGGGCUUCGUCCAGCCGGCCCUGCAGCACCAAGAUGGUCACCUGCGGGGGCACCCGAGCACGACUCCACCACGAGACACGCCACACGCUUCCCGUUUCCACCUCGACUUCCUGCCUCUGUGCAGGAUGUAAGCUUCUCCAUAAAGAAGGGCCUGACCCACUUCAGUGGUCCACAAAGAAACUGAUUUCCCUUCUGGCUGGAAAGCCCACCGCAAAUUACUUUUCUUACGUGGUAACUGGGUUCUAAACUAGCAUGUUUCCCUGAAAGACGCAGAGAGCGGCCGAGCGCCCGCAGGCCCGUGAGCAACCGCAGGCCCACCCGGGGCAUGGGGAAGGCAGAACGUGAAGUGUGGGGCAGGGAGGCCCGGCCUACGCAGGGUCCUUACCAACU